rnacentral:rRNA from 1 species
CCUAACACAUGCAAGUCGAACGGUAACAGGAAACAGCUUGCUGUUUCGCUGACGAGUGGCGGACGGGUGAGUAAUGUCUGGGAAACUGCCUGAUGGAGGGGGAUAACUACUGGAAACGGUAGCUAAUACCGCAUAACGUCGCAAGACCAAAGAGGGGGACCCUCGGGCCUCUUGCCAUCGGAUGUGCCCAGAUGGGAUUAGCUUGUUGGUGGGGUAACGGCUCACCAAGGCGACGAUCCCUAGCUGGUCUGAGAGGAUGACCAGCCACACUGGAACUGAGACACGGUCCAGACUCCUACGGGAGGCAGCAGUGGGGAAUAUUGCACAAUGGGCGCAAGCCUGAUGCAGCCAUGCCGCGUGUAUGAAGAAGGCCUUCGGGUUGUAAAGUACUUUCAGCGGGGAGGAAGGGAGUAAAGUUAAUACCUUUGCUCAUUGACGU